CCACUGUGUGACUCCAGUAUUUCUGAGUGACUUUUUCCUCCCUGUGUCUUUUGUUGGAUUUUGGAUUCUUGGUUCUUUGGAUUUUUUUAUUUGUGUUUCUUGGGAUUUUUUGAAUUUGACUAUUUUGAAAGUAAGUUUUUGUUGCUUCUCUCAAUUUGUUGCAAUUUGGGUCCUUUCUGUUUUAUUUUACUCCUGAACCUGACAUUACCAGUACAAUGAACAGCACCUAAUGCCACUUUGUCCACAGGGAGCAUCAAAAUAAAUAUAAAAUGACUGUCCUAACAGCUACUUUAAGUUUAGAUUUUAUUUAUUUAUUUUUUGUUUUAAAGUAAUCCCAAUCUAAAUGAAAAGUAUUGAACAAUACAAACUGGAGGUUUAAAUCGGGUUCUAGCAGAUCACAGCUUUAAAAAAUGUAGGUUUUUCAAGACUUACUUUGCAGUUAAAGUAGAUGGACUAAUGUAAAAAUGUAUUUUAUCCACAGAUCUGCACUUAUCUGACGAUAAACUGAAAGUAUUGUAUCUAAUCCCUGGGUCUUUUCCUCUUCAUAGCACUCCCAGCUCUUUCUUCAAUCAGCAUCCAUCACAAGGGCUCUGGCUUGAAAUAUAAUAAAGACUUCAGUAAAUUGUGUGCAGGUGCUUCAGUGUUUGACUUUGGCUGAGUAAAACUCUGCCAGAGACAGAUGAAGUUUCAUUAGAGGCUUGUGAAAUCAUACUUCAUCUCAGUUGUUUAAUGCCCUCACUUUGCCUGCAGCAAUGUUUUCCAAACUUUCCCCGACUCUGCAACUCCUUGUCCUUGCCUCUGAAUUACUCGUCUGUAUCUCCAUCUUCCGCCUCGUCUCUCAAUGGUCUCUGGAGCGAGUGCCAAUCUAAUCACAGCUCGCCCCCCAGUGGAAUACAGAAACACCAGUUUGUCAUGAUGCUCCCCCCCCUAACACUCCGGGGUCAGUUUGCCAGCAUGCUGUUAUUGCACGGGGCAUUGGGACCGUGGUGUGUCUACUAUGGGUGAUAUCCUACCUGUCCCAGCCUGCCAUGUAUUAGAGAAGAAUCUAAUCACCCCGCCACAGCUUCCUCCUCCUCCUCCUCCUCCUCCUGUUUGGAAAUAGAACUGAGGCCGAGGAACAAGGCCACAUCAAUCAUAAAAGGAUCCUCCUGAGAGUGCGAUCACUCUCACAGCUCUGUCAGAACAACAUCCAACCCACUGACGGACACAUCCUGGAACACAAACAUUUACUCACAGUCCUGUCUGAUUUCGGUUACUUUUUUCCCUUGCUAAUUUGCCCUUCCUUGUCUUUCAACAUGCAUCAAACACACUUUUUCUUCUUUUCCUUUUAUCCUGCAAUCACCUUCCUCCCCUUCAUGUCUUUUCCUUCCCUCAGACUCCCUUCCCUCUGCUUCCUUUAUACUGCCUUCCAGUUUCACUCCACGCACACCUUCUGUCUCCGAUUGAUAACAUCCCUGAUGGAGCUCCUUUAUUAGCCACCCACAGGCAGAUUAACCAGAGCAAUAAUACACCAAUCAGCUGCAAUUACUCCCUGAUAAGCCCAGAGAGAGCUCUGCAGGGUGCGGGGAGAGGAUGUAGCAGUUGUAGAGUGAUUGGGAGUCUUUAGUGUAGAUUUAAAGGUUCUGUGUCUGUGCAUACAUUUACACGUGUCAUAUGACUAUGUUUAAUUCUCUGUGUGUGUUUUUUUUAGCUUGCACAUUUAAUCCCAUCAUAAGGCAAAUAUAAUUAUAAUCAGAUGUGGAUCAGUCCCAGUCUUCUGGUCCUCAUCAGGUGUUAAUUGAGCUCAUGAUCAGACAGGCUGUAUUCUCAUCUGCACAGCCUCAGAGUUAUUACUGAAAAUAUGUGCAUGUGUGCAACAAGGCGGCUGAAUAGAGAGGGCUUUGAAUCAAUAUGCUGCAACAUUGCUGUGUGACUGUGCCAUUAUGGUCAAAGACAUCCCUUGUCCCAUCAUUAUAGUAAAUUAAAAUACUUAAAUUUUGGCUCUUGUUAGUUUUUGCACUUCUGUGCCUGAGCAGCAGUCUGGCAUUGUUAUAGUGCGGCUAAAUGGGGAUGAAAAUGAGAGGAAGGGUAGAUAUGAGUUUCCAGCCUGCAGGCAUCCACAGUACCAGCCAAGUCUGAUUUCAAGAACAGCUGCGUCGAUUUAACCUCGCUUUAUUUUUCCCUUUUGUGCACACACAAACAUGCAGUCACAUGCAUUUAGGUAUAAACUCAUGUAUGUUCACGCUUGAUGUGCAUGCAUGCACACAAAUGAGCAGACCAAAGACCCCCUGAAGCUGUUUACUGCUGUUCCCACCAAUCUUUCUAUUCCACAUUCACUUUACACCAGGAAACUCGCCAAACUGUGUGUGCGGGUGCAUCAGAUUAGUUCCCCCAACUGGCUUCAGAAACAAUGAUCCAACUCUUGUAUCAAAGCAGAUCUCCAAUUAGACUUUGCAUAUUUCAUUUGGGCUUUUUCAGAUUAAGGCGCCACAGAUUUGAUUAAUUCUUGCAGUUUCAAUGUCAAAAGGGCCGGGGUGUAAUUCUGGAAAUUGGCACAGAGAAACUCAGAGUGUGUAUGAUCUUUCUUUCACCUUGUUUUUCUUGAACGUGUGUGUGUCUCGUGUCUCCAACCUUGAGGUGUCUCAGUUCCUAACCUUCAAAAGUUAAUCCUAGAGCAAAAAAAUAAAGCGUACAUUUACCAUUACUUCGAGCAUGAAAUUAAAUACAUUACAUUUGGCCGUCUCUGGUCUAAUUAUUUCUGAGGAUUUAUGAUGGUGUCAGUGGUAUUUGUUUAAAGAAAGUGUGUGUACACCAUGUUGUUGGCUGCGGCAGGAGGCCUCACAUUCUUUUACAUGUCACUGGGGGAGCUUCUGUCUCCCAGUCCAGUGACCUUAACACCUGUGAUUGAUACUGGGAAAGGAGGAGUGUGUAUGUGUGAAGGCAUGUACUACCCAUGGUGUGUGUGUGUGUGUGUGUGUAUGUGUGUGUGCAAGGAGGGGUAAGGUUAAUUGAAGUUGUUAGAGUGAAAAUGAUUCCCUCAGGGGGACUGACAUAGCAGGUGGAGGCAGUUGGGUGGGAUCAGCAGUGGGUAACGAAAAAAGGAGGAAAAGAGGGAAUGGGGAUGGGGUGGGUGGGGGGUCAAAGGGAUUGCUCCUGGAGCCCGGCACUCACAGGCAGUGAUACAUGAAGACAGAGGGAUAAAACGAUUCAUCUAAAGGUCAGGUAUGUCCUCUCCUCCCUCAGCGUGACUCCAUAUAUAUCCCUGGGUUUCUUUUUGAUCAUUGUGUUAUUUCUGUCUCUUUUUGUUUUUGUUUUGCAGACAAAUUACCAUUUCUUCCAAGUAUGUCCAUUUAAUUUACACAACAAUCCACCUCCCCCUCCACCCCCCUCAGUUUCCUGUCUUACACAGUGUACCUGUCUAUCUCCUGAGCUGCCUGUCCAUCCGUCUCCUCCUGUGGCCUUUCCCCUCUCCCUCCGUACCAACCUUCAUUUCACAGAUGACAGGCUGGCGGACUGUAAUCCAGCAGAUGCCGGGGCGGGGAGGCCUGACCAACUGUUUUAACUCCAAUCAGCUUUUAUUGCUCUCUGGAGGAACCCCACACAACCCCCUGCCAGCCUGGCAUUUUAGCUAGGAGGAGAGAGGACAGAGAAAAUAGCACCUUUAUGCACUAUGUGUAUCUGAGUGAGGAUAUGUGUGUGCUGAUUAAGGCAGGGAGGGGGCUGAUGGGAAAAAAGGGGUGACAGUCAUUACCCCCUGUGCCUAGUGUGGGGCCAAACUGCUGGCUUCAAUCAACUUGGACUCACAGGCGUGUGUGUGUUUAUGUGUGUGAGAGAGUCAGAGAGACAGUCCAGCAACAGCGGGGAUGAAGAUGUUGCUGGUAAUGCAUCUGCCACUGCUGUUCGUCCCCGACAGCCCAAGCCACCCCUGCAUAGUCCACGUCUGUCGCCUCCCUUCAAUUCUCCAUCCAUCUUUCUCUUUACCCUCUUCUCCAUUCUCCACCCUCGGUCUUCCUCCAUCCCUCCCUCUGAGACAGAGACA
rnacentral:lncRNA from 1 species